UCCCCUCUACACAGAACACUUUCACUGUUGUUACAGGAUUAAAAUGUGCCUAGCCUGACAAUGAAAUAGCAGAGCCAUCGCACAUUGUUAUGCAACUCACUGUCUGCAAGGGUGGCUUGUAGCUCCUUCUUUAUUCAGCAAGUGCCAAGUGCAUGUUUAAUCAAUGUCACAGCUCACUACAGUAUGCAACUAAAGCCACUGUCAUUCUGCUCCUCGGAUCUGACUGGCUACUAAGUUAUGCAAUGCUCGGAAGAAUACCUUGGAAUUAUUUUCAGAGGCUUUGAAGCAGGUGUGUUACAAUGCUAACACCACUGCCAAUCAACCAGAUUGUUUUCAUUGUUUUUCAAAGCCUGGACUAAAAUUACAUGGUGUAAUUGAGCACAGUUGACUGCAUCUGGAAUUACAGCAUGUCAACGUGAGAAAGCAUCUUCACGUGGCUGGCAAGUAGUAGUGUAGAUAAAGGCUCAUUUUUUAAAGGAAAGUCUCAAGAAAAAACAACAUAUACUGAAGAAAAGCAGGAGCUAUGCUUAUUUUUUAAAAGCAAAGCCAAGCGGCACGCAGUAUGUAUUGUACAUAAAAUGCAUGUUGCCUAAGAAAAAACUCAAGUUAAUGAGAAUUAAUGUACAGCAUGGAUCAAUCCUAAGAAGGGUUUUUUGUUUUUAAACUGCACUUGACUUCAGUGGAUUACUGGAAGAUAAGCCCAGUCAGUUGGAAGAUUUUGUAUCACCGCCACCUGCACUGUUUAACUUUAUGUAUAAAAAAAUUCUUCAUGUUUGUAUAUGAUCUCUUUCUCUGAAAGAAGAGAGCAGCUCUCCAUGAAGAUAAAAGGCUGGUUCACCACUGAAUCGACGAGUAAGAAGCAUGUCUGAUGACAUUUUCUUCCUGAUGCAAUGUAGGCUAGCUAUCAGAACACUGGUGAAGAUACUUGCAGGAAAAAUGGGGACCUCAGCCAUCACAACAUUAGAAGAUGUAAAAAGGCAAGAGGAGAAUGAGGAAAAAGAAGAAUCUAUUUUAGCUAUGCUGGGGAUAAUUGGAACAGUGCUCAAUCUCUUUGUGAUUAUUUUUGUAUACAUCUACACUACACUCUGAUGACAUUUUUUCAGCAUCAGCUGUACAGUAUACUGUGCAAAGACUAGUCAUGACAAAAAUGAUUUUUAAAUGCAAAGCAAUAGGAAACAGCCUAAAAAAGAUUAUUGAAUACAUUCCAGAGCAAAGUGUCCGUCUAAGGAUGCUGCAUCAGUGACUGAAAUGCAUCUGUGAGCCCAGUCAGGACUACUACAUUAUGUAAAUGGAGACAGACAGUAUUCAGCUUCUCAUUGAUAAUGGCUAGAGCUCAAACACUGGAAAUACAGACAGUAUUGUUUUACUGCCAAUGAAUAUGCAAGACACAAGCAGUGUAAGCAGAUUAAAAACA